UGAGUAAGACAAAUGAUCGCGGCUGCGUUAAGCAGACGAGGAAAGUCCGAGCUCCAUAGGGCAGGGUGCUGGGUAAUACCCAGUGGAGGCGACUCCAAGGAAAGUGCAACAGAGAUAUACUGCGUGCCGGAAGUUGAAGGUAAUCUUCAAAAAUCCGGUGCGUGAUGGUGGAAAGGUGAGGUAAGAGCUCACCAGCAUCCAGGCGACUGGAAUGGCUAUGUAAACCCCACCUGGAGCAAGACCGAAUAGAGGACAUUGAAGCGGUUGCCCGCCGCGUCCUGGGAAAGGUCGCUUGAGCCUGUUGGCAACAACAGGCCUAGACAGAUGAUCAUUCUAGACAGAACUCGGCUUAUGGCUUAGCUCACUUU
rnacentral:RNase_P_RNA from 1 species